AUAGCGUCGCUUCGCAGUUCGCACGACGCACGUUGUUGUUUGUUCCUUUGCAAAGUAUAAAUCGAGAAGUAUUUUGAAUGUAUAUUAAAUUUUACUGGACAUUAUGAUACAAGAUUGCCUGGAGAAGAUCGAGGAAAUUGUUUUAAAAGUGACUGGGAAUCUCAGUCAUCUCAGAGAUGGUGGAUUAACAAGUGCCAAGUGGUGAUGUUUAUAAGUCUAAGUCAUCUAAGUCUGUAAUGAACGACAGGAAAGUAUGGUGCCAAGGUCUUUCAUUUGAUGAAAAAUAUCAACUUGAUAUUAGUUCAGUGAAACAAGAAAAGAAGGCAUUUGACUUGGUUUAAGGAAAUAAGGAACAUGGAUUAAUUGAGGUAGUACUAGUGUGCGAGAAACUCAGUGGAUGAGUGGAAAGUCUCCUCUGUUAAUGGUUAAUUGGAUUCACAGUGUUGCAGAACUUAAUUUUCCAGGACAAAAAUACUCCAGGUGAUCUUAUAAAUAUGCUCAUAUUUGGGAGGACGUAUACCAACUUUACAAACAACUAGUCAGUAAUCAAAGAGGAACAUUGCUCAGGAGUUAAUUACUUUAGCUUAUGUGUUAAUAACAAUAAUUGAAGACAUGCAGUGAGUUUGCAUAGUUCUAGAUGCACUUGUCUUCUUUCAUAAAUAUUUUUAUUCAAUUACCUCUGGGUUCAUUAUACAGGGGCUUAAUUUCAAUAAUUUGAGUUGUUUCAGCUAGUUUCCUAAACUUGCC